CUGGAACUCAGCGUGAGAGCAAGUGGCAGCAGUGCCAGCCCUGGGAGGGGAGGUGAUGCUGCCUGCAGGGUCACAGCUGAGUUUUGGUGUCGAGGUGAAAUGCUCAGGCUGAGGUUUGCACCCAGGAUACUGAAUUUCUCUGUCACCCUGUGGCUUAUUUGAUGCUUGUCUCCAUAAAACCCACCUGACAGCCCACGGACUGCCCUGGGUUUUUGAGGCUCUCCCUGUGUUGGGCAGUGAAGAGGCCAGGGCAGAGCCUCGUGUUUGAUCUUCCAUUCAAAUUGGCGGGGCUCAGAGUGACUGGGUGCUUCAUCCACAUGAGCUGUGCAGGUCGGUCAUUCCACAGACUUACUCUGGGUGCUGGAGGUGGUGACUGGUCCUGCCAGGACGCUGGGACAGCUGCAGGGCCUGGUGUCACACACAGAGCUGUGGUGAAGGGCAGAGGAACAGCCAUGGUCAGUGUUACACCUGAGGAGGAGAACAGGGUAAAAGACAAACGGCAACAUAUAAAAAAUGACCCGAGUCCCUUAAUUUGAACCAGAGGAGACAAUAACAGUCUGGAGACAGAGCUGGAUUUAUCUUCUCUCUGCGAUGGAGGCCCCUCCUCCCGAUGGCUGUGGGAUGGAGCGAGCAGCAUCUGAAGCAAAUUGAGGACCCACCUGGGAGCCUGCUUGCCAGAAGGAGAAAUGGCACAAGAGGAAAUACAUCUUCACAGCCUUGAGAGAGGAGAAGGUUGGAAUCCGAGUCCAUAAACAGCGUUGCUGUGCAGUGAGCAAAGACAGAGCAGGUUGGGCUCUGGAGAGUGUAACCCCACCUCUGCUGCUCCACUGCCAAUUAAAAAUAAAGAAGUGGAACUUG